CCAUGCAAGUCGAACGAUGACUAUCUAGCUUGCUAGAUAAGAUUAGUGGCGGACGGGUGAGUAACAUUUAGGAAUCUGCCUAGUAGUGGGGGAUAGCUCGGGGAAACUCGAAUUAAUACCGCAUACGACCUACGGGUGAAAGGGGGCGCAAGCUCUUGCUAUUAGAUGAGCCUAAAUCAGAUUAGCUAGUUGGUGGGGUAAAGGCCCACCAAGGCGACGAUCUGUAACUGGUCUGAGAGGAUGAUCAGUCACACCGGAACUGAGACACGGUCCGGACUCCUACGGGAGGCAGCAGUGGGGAAUAUUGGACAAUGGGGGCAACCCUGAUCCAGCCAUGCCGCGUGUGUGAAGAAGGCCUUUUGGUUGUAAAGCACUUUAAGCAGGGAGGAGAGGCUAAUGGUUAAUACCCAUUAGAUUAGACGUUACCUGCAGAAUAAGCACCGGCUAACUCUGUGCCAGCAGCCGCGGUAAUACAGAGGGUGCGAGCGUUAAUCGGAAUUACUGGGCGUAAAGCGAGUGUAGGUGGCUCAUUAAGUCACAUGUGAAAUCCCCGGGCUUAACCUGGGAACUGCAUGUGAUACUGGUGGUGCUAGAAUAUGUGAGAGGGAAGUAGAAUUCCAGGUGUAGCGGUGAAAUGCGUAGAGAUCUGGAGGAAUACCGAUGGCGAAGGCAGCUUCCUGGCAUAAUAUUGACACUGAGAUUCGAAAGCGUGGGUAGCAAACAGGAUUAGAUACCCUGGUAGUCCACGCCGUAAACGAUGUCUACUAGCCGUUGGGGUCCUUGAGACUUUAGUGGCGCAGUUAACGCGAUAAGUAGACCGCCUGGGGAGUACGGCCGCAAGGUUAAAACUCAAAUGAAUUGACGGGGGCCCGCACAAGCGGUGGAGCAUGUGGUUUAAUUCGAUGCAACGCGAAGAACCUUACCUGGUCUUGACAUAGUGAGAAUCCUGCAGAGAUGCGGGAGUGCCUUCGGGAAUUCACAUACAGGUGCUGCAUGGCUGUCGUCAGCUCGUGUCGUGAGAUGUUGGGUUAAGUCCCGCAACGAGCGCAACCCUUUUCCUUAUUUGCCAGCGGGUUAAGCCGGGAACUUUAAGGAUACUGCCAGUGACAAACUGGAGGAAGGCGGGGACGACGUCAAGUCAUCAUGGCCCUUACGACCAGGGCUACACACGUGCUACAAUGGUAGGUACAGAGGGUUGCUACACAGCGAUGUGAUGCUAAUCUCAAAAAGCCUAUCGUAGUCCGGAUUGGAGUCUGCAACUCGACUCCAUGAAGUCGGAAUCGCUAGUAAUCGCAGAUCAGAAUGCUGCGGUGAAUACGUUCCCGGGCCUUGUACACACCGCCCGUCACACCAUGGGAGUCUAUUGCACCAGAAGUAGGUAGCCUAACGCAAGAGGGCGCUU
rnacentral:rRNA from 1 species